rnacentral:rRNA from 1 species
CCUACGGGAGGCAGCAGUGAGGAAUAUUGGUCAAUGGGCGAGAGCCUGAACCAGCCAAGUCGCGUGAAGGAUGACGGCCCUACGGGUUGUAAACUUCUUUUGUCAGGGAGCAAUUGGCUCCACGCGUGGGCUUAGCGAGAGUACCUGAAGAAAAAGCAUCGGCUAACUCCGUGCCAGCAGCCGCGGUAAUACGGAGGAUGCGAGCGUUAUCCGGCUUUAUUGGGGUUAAAGGGUGCGUAGGCGGAAUAUCAAGUCAGCGGUAAAACUUCGGGGCUCAACCCCGUCGUGCCGUUGAAACUGAUGUUCUUGAGUGGGCGAGAAGUAUGCGGAAUGCGUGGUGUAGCGGUGAAAUGCAUAGAUAUCACGCAGAACCCCGAUUGCGAAGGCAGCAUACCGGCGCCCAACUGACGCUGAAGCACGAAAGCGUGGGUAUCGAACAGGAUUAGAUACCCGAGUAGUC